CAAAAACACAAAGGAAAAGUGGCUGCUGGACUGUUCUGGGGGCAAAAUGCUGGAAGUUUCUUGCUGCUUAAUACUAAGCGGGGAGAUGAGCACUGAAAGCAAUACGGAUUUAUCCAGUGGCUGAAUUAAGUGAAGGCGAAUCGUGGUUUGGAAGUCCACUGACUGACAUUGUUCCGGACCGGGGGAUCUGUCUCUCUGAUUUUUAGAGGAACUACAGUUUAGUGGCAGCCAGCCGGACACAGUCACCACGCCGCAGAGUGGCCAGCAACGAGCGGGCGAGAGAAGCGAGAAAGCACAAAGACUGAACUAACCCGACCCUCCUCCUCUUUCUCCUCCUUCCCCGGCUCUUUAUUUGCACAUUUACUAAAGACUUAAAAGAAAAAAAAAAAAAAAAAAAAAAAAAAAAAGAGAGAGAGAGAGAGAGACACCCCAACAAACCCACUCCAGCUAACCUACGAGAUUUUCGGUCCGCCGGGGGUUUCUCCGCGCCGCCGACCACGGCAAUGCCUUAAAUUUUCACUUCAAGGAAUAACACCCCCCGCUCCCCCGAAAUAAAAUAAACCCAAUAAACCUGCCAAGUCUCACUCA